rnacentral:rRNA from 1 species
AUACGGAGGGUGCAAGCGUUACUCGGAAUCACUGGGCGUAAAGGACGCGUAGGCGGGUUUGUAAGUCAGGUGUGAAAUCCUACAGCUCAACUGUAGAACUGCACUUGAAACUACAGACCUAGAGUAUGGAAGGGGCAGAUGGAAUUAGUGGUGUAGGGGUAAAAUCCGUAGAUAUCACUAGGAAUACCGAAAGCGAAGGCGAUCUGCUGGGACAUUACUGACGCUGAGGCGUGAAAGCGUGGGGAGCAAACAGGAUUAGAAACCCCGGUAGUCC